rnacentral:sRNA from 1 species
CGGUAUCAUGAAAAUUAAUUGAUUGACUAGGUUAUGCAGUUAACAGACAUUUUGUUAUUGUUGAAGUCAUAUCACUGCUUAUUUGUUAGUGUUGAAUGUAUUUAAAAAUGUGUAAAAAUAUUUGUUUUGAAGUUAAGAUUUAAUACUUUCUUAAGUGAUAGAACCACGUUUUGACAUAUUGAAAUAAUAUUUUGUCUUAAACAUUUUACCUGCUGUACAAGUCCCAAAGUUUUUGUAGGUAAUUUUAUUUGUAAUGUUUUAGACUAAUCAGUAUAAUAGUGUGAAAUAAAACAAAACAAGAUGGUACACACAGAACCUUUUAAGUGUGGAUCAUUUUUUAAGCGAUGAUACAAAUUUGGUGAAGUUACUGAUUGUUGAGCCGAUGCCAACCUAAGGAUUGCCAGCAAGGGAACAGCAAUCAAUUGACAUAUAGCAUCGUUUCACACUUAAAUUGUUCAGGCUGAUACUUGCUCUGUUUGAUGGUCUCAAAUCAAGGGCAGCUGUUUUGGUUAGAUCCACUAGAAGAAUGGGACAUCUUUUUACUUGACUUCAAAGCCAAUGUAAUAAUUGUGACUUUUUUUUGUUUUCUGUGUGUUAUGAUUAGUUUUCACUUCAUAAAGAUAAUGGCAUAGAAAAAAGGUUUCAAUUAUGAGCUUAUCACUCAUUGAAAAAUAUUAGAAUGCCAAACUUGCGUGUGUUUGUAACUUGUACAGACUAAGGAUAAGAUUUUAAAACUAAUUUAAAAAAAAACAUUCCUUUUUAAAAUCAUUGUUUUAUAUUUUCUUACAAUACAAUGAAUAACAGAUCUUUUUGUGAACUUUGAUUUUUAACGUAGUUAAAGGGAUAUUGGUCGAGAGAUUGUUGUUUCCUGGAAUAAUUUAUUGUUGAUAAAAUAGUUUCCUAUUCAAGCCAAAUGUAUUAUGAGGUUGCUAAUAAGUUCAAGCUGGCAAGUCUAUCAUAUUACUUGUAAGCGUGUGCACAAUUUAGUGGUUAUAAUUUUUAUAAUAAACUUCAUUGAUCCUCUCAAAAGUUUGGUUGGUGAUGUUUUUAAUUUAUCACAACUAUCAAAGUGUGUUGAUAUAUUUAAAUUAUAGUUCAUUAAAAGGUUAAAAUAGAUUUGAUUGAGCUCUAUACUAUUGAGUAUUCCAAUAAUGUAAGAAAUUAGCAAGAGGAGAUAAAAUAUUUUUUUCCUUUUAAAUCUGCAUGGGUUUUGGUGGUAGAGAUGCUAAAAUAGCUGGCGGCUGAAUCACAGAAUGCUGAGGUGGAUAACAGAAUUAUACCGAACCAUACAAACAACCUUAUUUAAUAAAUAAUUUUGUUUCCUUAAAUACUGGGUAUAUAAACACACAAGGUAAAAAAUAUUUGUAUGAAUAUUUUUAUUAAUCAAUGUUACAUUGGAUUCUUCAAAUAAAACUAAAAAAUUGACAUUUGAUGUUCAUUCUUUUUCAAUGGAAGAAUCUUUAGUUUUAAAUGGUCACUUUUUAAGUAAAAAAAUAAAUUAAUUAACUAAUUCACUUCUGAGUACAUGUAUUCACCAGUGUUGGCUGAAGACUUUUGUACAUUUCUGUUAAACCAUAUUAAAAAGUGAGCACAGAUAUUCAAUAAUGGAUUUUUUUUCUCUCGUUUUUUAUUCUGUAUAAGGUGUAAACACUUCAUGAAACAGAAAAUUAAGUACUCUUGUAACUCAUGGCAUUAAAAGCCCAUUAAUAUGCAGCUAUCACUAUUGUCUGUAAAGUUACAGUGUUCUUAGCUUCUGUUCAUUAUUAUAAAACCUAAAGAAAUGAUUUGGAACUUAGACAAUGUACAUUUCUAUUACUAUCUGAAAAUGUAGAGGAAAGACAAAGGCUCUUUUUUUUAAUUAGAUGAAUCAAAACAACUUUGAAUUUUUUUUUGCAGUGCCACAAAACCUGAAAGCAUUAAUUAAAGAUUUUAUUCUUAAAAAUGCAUCAAAAAUACAUCUUUGUGAACAAAUUGUUUCAACAGUGACACUGCAUUAGAAUGCUCCCACUUUACAGCCACCAACUAGAAAUGGUUUAAUUAAGAAGAUUUCAUUGUUUGUGUUUUGUCAUGACCAAUCCUUUCUUGUUAAAAAAAAA